UCACCCCUCAAGCCCUGGCUUGGUGUUGGACUUUAGUUAUAGCUUUGCCUAUCGACUGGUCUCAAAGAUAGUGACGGCGCCCCAGAGGGAACCGGGUACGAGGGGCUUUUUAUUUAAGCAUGUAUCUGGGACGACUCUGAUGGGCGACGGUCUUGUUAUACUUUUACCUAAG
rnacentral:misc_RNA from 1 species